GGGACAACCCGCCGAAAGGCGGGCUAAACCCGCGUACAUGCCACCGGGGCAUCCCGGAGGCAGGAAAGGCUUCGGCCGGACAGGGAUGGGCAUGCGGCGCAUUAGGCAGUAGGCGGGGUAACGGCCCACCUAACCGACGAUGCGUAGGGGUUCUGAGAGGAAGGUCCCCCACACUGGUACUGAGACACGGACCAGACUCCUACGGGAGGCAGCAGUGAGGAAUAUUGGUCAAUGGUCGGGAGACUGAACCAGCCAAGCCGCGUGAGGGAUGAAGGUACAGAGUAUCGUAAACCUCUUUUGUCAGGGAACAAAGGCGGGGACGUGUCCCCGGAUGAGUGUACCUGAAGAAAAAGCAUCGGCUAACUCCGUGCCAGCAGCCGCGGUAAUACGGAGGAUGCGAGCGUUAUCCGGAUUUAUUGGGUUUAAAGGGUGCGCAGGCGGUCUGUUAAGUCAGCGGUCAAAGCCCGGGGCUCAACCCCGGCCCGCCGUUGAAACUGGCAGUCUCGAGUUGGAGAGAAGUAUGCGGAAUGCGCGGUGUAGCGGUGAAAUGCAUAGAUAUCGCGCAGAACUCCGAUUGCGAAGGCAGCAUGCCGGCUCCACACUGACGCUGAAGCACGAAAGCGUGGGUAUCGAACAGGAUUAGAUACCCUGGUAGUCCACGCAGUAAAC
rnacentral:rRNA from 1 species